UUUUUUUUUAGAUGCGGAGGAACAAGAUGUGUGCCACAGAGCAACAGGGGAAGGCAGCGGAGUGCCGUAAGGAGGCGAUGACAGGGCACGAGGUGCUUGAAGGAACCUUGUGUUUAGGUGACAUGGCUGCUACGGAGAUUGGACUGUGACAUGUGGCACUGUGAAAGCUAAGUAUCGGGUUGAAAAUGCACGGAUGGUGGAGAUGAUGGUGUGGAAGUGGACAGUCUGUCAAGAUGAGCAGAGCUCACUCGUUUUCAGCUUGGGAACAGGGAUCGUGGAGGUAACGUCACCUCGGGGAGGAAAACCCCUGGACGUGAAGCGACAGACGUAAUGGGAGCGAGGAAUGUGGAAAAGACCACUCCGUAGAGAAUUGCAGGCAC